CCUACGGGAGGCAGCAGUCGAGAAUUUUUCACAAUGGACGAAAGUCUGAUGGAGCGACGCCGCGUGGAGGAUGAAGGUUCUUGGAUUGUAAACUCCUGUCACUGCAGAACAAGGAUGUGCCGGUUAAUAGCGGGCGCAUUUGAUGGUAUGCGGAGAGGAAGGGACGGCUAACUCUGUGCCAGCAGCCGCGGUGAU
rnacentral:rRNA from 1 species